ACUAAAAUACUCUGGCGAGUCGAGGCCCGGAGGUGGCAGGAAAGGGAGUCGGCUCCUCACAAAAUAAAUGCCUCCCAGUCUCAGAGCCAGGAAGAAGACAUCGGUGUAGACUGAGGUUCGGACGGGGAUGCGAGAUAAGCGUACCGAGAGCCUGGAGUGUGUUGCAUGUCCGUCAAACCAGCACUCGGAAGAAGGCAGGUGGAUCAGAAGUUCAAGGUCAACUUUGAACUACAUAGUGAUUUCGAGACUAGAUUGGCCUUCUUGAGACUAUUUCAAAGAGAAGAGAGAGGAGGAAAAGAGUAAUGGGCCUGCAGGGCCUGGUGGUACAGGCUUUAAAUCCCAGAAUUCAAGAUGAGUCAGGAGCCUGAGCUACAAGAGUUCAAGAGCUGAGGAUGUAGCUUGGUAGAGCACGUACCCUGCACGCAUGAGGCCCAAGCUUCAGUUCUCUGUACAAACAAAAACAAAAGGCUUCGGGGAAGCGUCCUCUCAUCGCCAGCCCUGCUCCUAGUCAGCUCUGUGUCGCCCUGGGCCAGCUGAAUGGAUCCUGAUGAUACAGAAGCAAGUAGGCAUUCACCUGAAAGCCUCCGUGGAACUGUCAUGCAAUGUAUGACAGGAUACAGCAGGACACAAAGCAGCAGCAGACCAAGAAUAAGUGCAUUCUACACUGAAUCACCAGCUAAGACUCCAGCCCAUGCAGGCCUUGAGGCAGGUUGCUUUGUGGGAAUAUGGAGCUUUUAAAUCUUAUCUUAUGCUGACCACAUUUAAAUCUUAGGAUAUAACACAUGAGAAUCUACACAACCAGACUUUAUAAAGACUACAAAAUGUGACAUCAGGAGGGACAUGGAGACAUGACCUUGCUGCUAUUGGAGUGCUCUGAGCAUGUGACAGGUACCCUUGCUGGUAAAGCCACAAACUGGAUCAGUCAUGUACCUAUUACCCAUUUGGCUCUUGGAAGUUAUGAGGAUUUGACCUCAUCUUACACAAGAAAUUACUAUAUGUCACGGCACAGCAGAAUCAUCCUGUGAGUGGCAUUUUGGAAUACAGAAGCAAAAGCUGAGCAGAGUGGCACAUACCUAUAAUCCAUUCCCUCAGGAGGCUGAGGCAGGAAGAGGUUGGAGCUAGCAUGUUCAAGAAAGGCCCUGAGUUCUGUCUCCAAUAACAGAGGAGAAAAGAACAUGGAAGGUACUUUUUAAGUUUAUUUCUUGUGAUGGGAUGGGUCACAUCACAGUGCACCUGUGAAUAUUAGGAGAGCUUAUGAGAGUGGAUCAAACUCAGCAGCCUAAAGAGGCUUGGCAGCAAGGACCUUUAUCUACUGGACAUUUUACCAACCCCUAAAGAUGGAUCCUACUAUCUGUUGUGUCCUAGUUCUCCUAAGAUGGCAUCUUACAGAGCAUUUUCUCAGCAUGUUAUUUGUUUGUGUAUAUGUAGCCUAGAAAUCACUGUCAGCUGGCCUCCAACUCAUAUUCUAUAAUGUGUAUCAGUGUUUGCUGAAUGUAUGUAUGUGUACCGUGUAUAUGCCUCGUGCAAAAGUGUUAUGGGAUCCUCUGGAACUGAAGUAACAGAAAGUUAUGCGCUGCCAUGUGGAUGCUGGAAAUGAAACUUUGAUCCUCUGCAAGAGUGGCAUGCACUCUUAGACACUGAACCAUCUCUCCAGUUCAUGGCUUCAAACUGUUGGUGACUUUCUGCUUCCUUCAGCCUCCAAGUACUGAUAUUACAGGUGAAGACCAUACUCCUGGAUAAGUCAUUGUUAAAUGAAUUCCCUUUGAUUUCCAUAUAGAAACCCAGUUUGUCUCCAGUAUGCAUCUGUGAAGAAUAGGUUUUAACAGCACUUGCUACACCUGGCGGCCGUGGUGGCACAUGCCUUUAAUCCUAGCACCUGGGAAAGAGAGGCAGGCAAAUCUCUGAGUUUGAGGCCAGCCUGGUCUACAGAUCGAGUUCCAGGACAGCCAGAGCUACGAGGCAUGGAGAAGCCUUAUCUGGAAAAACAAACAAACCAAGUACUUGAUGCACAAGACUAACAACUUGAAUUCAGAACCCACACCAAAAAUGGGGUGCAGCAGACUGUAACCCCAACUCUGAAAUGAGGUUAAGACAGAGACAGGAGAAUCGCCUCAGUAGCUUGAAAAUCAGCUAUCCUGGAAACUGCAUCAAAGUAUAACAAACAAGAAAGACCCUGCCUCAAACAAAGUAGAAGAUGAAAAUUGAUUCCUGGAAGCUGUCCUUGUGCUUGUGCUGUGGCGUGCACCCACCCUCUCCCACACAGAGAGGAUUAAACUUCUGCUUCACAACUCUCCACAGUGGAACUAGCUUCUAAAACAUCUUCUGGGGGAUUGGACAGAUGGCUCGGCCACUAACAGCCCUGCUGCUCUUGCAGAAGACAUGGGUUCAACACCCAGCACUCACUUGGUGGCUCACAACUGUCUGUAACUCCAGUCCCAGGGGACUCUGGUUUCUGGGGGCAAUGCAUAUUCAAGUGGUACAAAAACAUAUAUGAGGCCAAACACCCACAUACACAAAAAUAAAUAAAUAAGUCAGCGUUGCUCUAGAAAUACACAAAAAGCAGAAAGUAAAAGACUGCCUGACCUUACCUCCAUGUGAAGCAAAAGAAGCCACUUACAGAACAAUAGUGGAGUGCUAGUUACCAGAGGCAAGGAGGUGGGGGAAAUGAGAAGCAGAUGGCAGGAAGUCCAAAGCUGCAGUUACAUAAGCUGCAUCUGUAGAGCCAGCGUGUGACAAGAUGACUGGAUAGCACUGGAGCGCUUCAAAUAGCAGAGUAGAUUACAACCACCCUCACCACAGGGAGAGUGGAGAAGGGCCGGAUGGAGCUCCAUUGGCAGAGUGCUCACUCAUGCACAAGAGGCUCUAGAUUCAGUCCCCAGAACUUCACAUACCUGAAAAGCCAGCCCUGGAGAAAUGGCAGCAUGAGGAUCAGAGAGGCUCAAGGGAAUCCUGAGACACAUAGUCGAAGGCCAGCAUGUGAUACGUGAGACCCUGUCACCAAAAGGUCAACCAUGUGACGAUGUGGAUGUGCUGCACUGUAGUCACUGUUUCCCUGUGUGUGUGUGUUCAGAACAUUUAUGCCAUGUACUUUUUAUGUGCACAAUUUAUAUGUUAAAAAAUCUUCAUUCUAGGUUUGAAGAGGUGGCUCAGUGGUUAAGAGUCGUCAGUACCUUUCUUCCAGAGGACUGAUUCAGUCACUAGCAUCCACCUGUAACUCCAGCUACAGGGGAUCUGGUGCCCUCUUCUGCCAACUAGAGGCACUGUGCUCACAUACAUAAAACCUGGCCCUAGAUUUGAAGCCCCUCCUGAUGACAUCCAAUCUGUGGUCCAGUUCUGUAUCAACCCAUUGGCCAUUCCAGAUCAGCCAGCCAUGGGGCUCCUGCUUUUUGUUAAGCCACUCUCAGCCACACACAUUUACACAUAACUUUAAAAACAAUGAAAUGCAUUCUUUUGUCUACUAGACCACACUGGGGGAAAGAGUGAGUGAGUUUCUAGCCACUCCUGCCGCACAGGAAAGCAAAUGGGGUAGGUGCUUGGCAGAUCGUGCAUGGAAAACAAAUGUAUAAAAGAAGCAGAGCGAGGGCUGGGAACAUGGCUUAGUGGUAUACGAACUUGCAAGCAUGAGGACCCAAGUUUAAAUCUCUAGCACACUGGUAACAAGCACAUACUGUAACCUCAGCAUGUAACCUCCCAGUAGCAGAGAUGGGAGCAAGACAUCAAAGCUGAAACGGCUUGCUUCUGCCCCGCUGAGACCCUGUCUCAUGGCAACAGAGAAGAGAGGGAGUGAUAGACGAAGAUACCUUGUACCCUACUCUAACCUCAUGUGCACACUCACAUUCAUGCAC